GAAUCUCCAUCAGAUUGUCUUUUUAAAAAAAUCCAAGUCUUUGCCCUGCCUUGUACCAGGAAAAGCAUGAUUUACACAUUUGAGAGCUAGUGAAAGGAGUCCAUCCGUGUCCUUGUGAAUCUGCAGCCCAGACUGCUGAGUGUGCCAAGGGCAUUUAAAUGACCAGCCAUUGUUCUGCAGCCGAGAUUCACAGAGUGGCCAUGUUAAAAGAGUCUCGCUCUGUCACCCAGGCUGGAACGGAAUGGUGCCACCAGAGCUCACUGCAACCUAGACACCCUGGGCUCAAGAAACCCUCCCUCAUCAGCCUCCCAAGUAGCUGGGACUGCAGGAGCAAUACCAGACCACAACAGGUUCUUCAUCAAUAUUGAAUAAGCGCAUGAGGAUAUGUCCACCACAUUCUACAUAUUGCCUUCUGUAAUGAGGUGGUCUUUCACUGCCUGCUACCGUGGACACCGUAUGGAAGAGACUGGUGGGUUUGUGAGAUUAAAACGGACAUCAUGUGCCUCUCAGCAUGAUGUGCUGAGAAGACAUGGCUUGUGCAGGCUUCUGUAGAAGUGCAGAAUCUGAACAGGAUCACGAGGAGCAAAUCAGACAGGCCCAGAUGAGGGGCAUCUGCACAUUCUGCAUUCUUCAAAAAUGGUUCAACUCGAAGGACAAAGCAAGGCUGAGGAGCUCUUUCAGAUUAAAGGAGACUCAUGUGACCUGGCAACUGCAAGCAACAUGUGAUUCUGGGUUGGAUCCCAGAACAGGGAAGAACAAUCUCUUUAAAAGGCAUUAGAAUGGAGUCAAUGGGGGAAAUUUGAGUAGGGAUUGUAUAUUUCAUCAUAGUAUUAUAUUAGUGGUACCUUUCAUGAAUAUGAUCUUCUUACUGUGGUUAUAUAACAGAACCUCCUUGUUCUUAGAGGUAAAGGGUCAAAAUAUUCACAACUUAACUCUUAAAUAGGUUAGCAAAAAUAAUAAUUAUAACGAUCAUAUAUAUAGAGUAAGAGAAAGGAAAAAGAGAGGGAGAUAAAGCAAAUGUGACAAAAUAUUAACAAUCAGUGAAUCCAAAGAGUGUAUGGAGUUCAUUGCAUUGUUCUUGCAACUUUUCUGUAAGGUUAAAAUUAUUUCAAAAUAAGUUUUUAAAAAUCUAGGCCUGGCACGGUGGCUCACGCCUGUAAUCCAGCACUUUGGAAAGCCAAGGCGGGCAGAUUGCAAGGUCAAGAGACAGAGACCAUCUUGGCCAACAUGGUAAAACCUUGUCUCUACUAAAAAUUCAAAAAUUAGCUGGGUGUGGUGGCACGCGCCUGUAGUCCCAGCCAGUUGGGAGGCUGAGGCAGGAAAAUUACUUGAACCCAAGAGGCAGAGGUUGCAGUGAGCUGAGAUUGCACCACUGCACUCCAGCCUGGCAACAGAGUGAGUCUCUGUUUCAGAACAAACAAACAAAAAAACCCAAAUCUGUUUGUGUUAAAGUCGGGGGUAAAGCCAUGGAGACAGAUGUAGCAUAAUAAAAGCAAUGGCUAAGACACACAGUGCUUUGCAAUGUGCCCGGCACCUUAUACAUAUUACAUUGUGUAAUCCUCAAAGCCACCUAUCAGGUAGGUAUUACUAUUGUCAUCUCCAUUUUACAGAUGGGGGAACUUCGGCUCCAAGAAGCUGAGUAUUUUAAAUCAGCAAGAUCUCAGAGUCAGUAAGUGGAAGA